rnacentral:rRNA from 1 species
UACGAAGGGGGCUAGCGUUGCUCGGAAUCACUGGGCGUAAAGGGUGCGUAGGCGGGUCUUUAAGUCAGGGGUGAAAUCCUGGAGCUCAACUCCAGAACUGCCUUUGAUACUGAGGAUCUUGAGUUCGGGAGAGGUGAGUGGAACUGCGAGUGUAGAGGUGAAAUUCGUAGAUAUUCGCAAGAACACCAGUGGCGAAGGCGGCUCACUGGCCCGGUACUGACGCUGAGGGGCGAAAGCGUGGGGAGCAAACAGG